rnacentral:rRNA from 1 species
GACAGUACUGACGCUGAGAUGCGAAGCGUGGGGAGCAAACAGGAUUAGAUACCUGGUAGUCCACGCUGUAAACGAUGUCGAUUUGGAGUUUGUUGCCUAGAGUGAUGGGCUCCGAAGCUAACGCGAUAAAUCGACCGCUGGGGAGUACGGCCGCAAGGUUAAAACUCAAAUGAAUUGACGGGGGCCCGCACAAGCGGUGGAGCAUGUGGUUUAAUUCGAUGCAACGCGAAGAACCUUACCUGGUCUUGACAUCCAUAGAAUUCUGCAGAGAUGUGGGAGUGCCUUCGGGAACUAUGAGACAGGUGCUGCAUGGCUGUCGUCAGCUCGUGUUGUGAAAUGUUGGGUUAAGUCCCGCAACGAGCGCAACCCUUAUUCUUUGUUGCCAGCGAUUUGGUCGGGAACUCAAAGGAGACUGCCGUUGAUAAAGCGGAGGAAGGUGGGGACGACGUCAAGUCAUCAUGGCCCUUACGACCAGGGCUACACACGUGCUACAAUGGCGUAUACAAAGGGAAGCGAAGGUGCGAGCUGGAGCGGAUCUCAUAAAGUACGUCUAAGUUCGGAUUGGAGUCUGCAACUCGACUCCAUGAAGUCGGAAUCGCUAGUAAUCGUAGAUCAGAAUGCUACGGUGAAUACGUUCCCGGGCCUUGUACACACCGCCCGUCACACCAUGGGAGUGGGUUGCACCAGAAGUAGAUAGCUUAACCGCGAGGGGGGCGUUUACCACGGUGUGAUUCAUGACUGGGGUGAAGUCGUAACAAGGUAACCA